GCUACUUGCAGAGUAUCAGCAUAGCGAUUAAAUUAGCUAGCAGAACAGAAUGAUUAUAUCCUUGAAAAGGCCCAAUUCAAAGUGAAUCAAUAACUUUUUGGUUUACAGCACAGUUAUAUAGGAUUGCUAUGAAUCUGCUAAUCCUUUAUUGUAGACUCAAUUUUCUUACAUUCGUCUCACUCUAUAUUUAAACUAAAGACACUUCAUGUCAACUUGUGUACUCUUUAUCUAUGGUUUAAUUUCUAAAAUUUUCACUGCUAGGAGGAUCUUGGCCUUUGUAAUAAUAACAGGAGAUUAAAUCAAUAUCACGAUAUUGUGUUUAAUAGUAUGGCUGCUCUACAUAAAAGACCAUUCGAAUUCCGGAUGUGUAAAAAAGUAGCAGAGCUAACUCAAGUGAUUCAUAUGCUAUUCACGAGAAACCAUGAGAGGGAAGUUGAACUAGAGGCGACAAAAGAAGCUUACGAAGAAGAAAUUAAUAGGGUUCUCAGAGAAUCUGAUGAAAGAAUAAGCGUUUACAAGACCAAAUAUCAGGAGUUACAAUUUGCAAAAGAAUUAAAACAAGACAGGAAGAAACAAGAAGUAAACGAAGAAGCUGUUAAAUUUUUAAAUAUUAGAAAUAAAGAGUUAGAAGAAAAGAUUAAUGAUUUAGAAGUAUUAGCUUCUGAAAGAAGAAACGAGUGUAAUGAGAUAAAAGUAUUACUAAAUAAAGCUGAAAGUCAUGUUGAAAAGUUGAAAGAAUUGAAAACAGAAGACUUAAGAAAGAAUCAGGGGAAAUGCGAAGAAAUUACGGCAAAGAAUGAAAAGCUAAAAGGUCGAAUUUCAAUUUUGGAAAAGGAAUUAAGAGAUUCACAACAAAGUUCUGAGAGAGAUCGAUUAGAUUUACAAAGACUGAUCGAUCAAUUAAGAAGAGAAAACGAAAAAUAUAGAAAUUGCUUAGUCGAUAACGAAAAAUCUAAACAGCAAUUGUUAGCCAAAGUCAAACAACUGGAAAACGAUCUUAAAAGAGUAAAAAAGCAACUGCUUCUAAAGAAACAAAGUCAACAAACGAAUGAUCGAAGAAAUUCUUAUUUUAACGGUAAUGAGGAUGAUGAGAUAGAUAAAUUAAGAAAUGAAGUUGCUAGAUAUAAAAUGGAAUUGUCAAAUAGAGAAAACAAUUUUAACAGAGUAUUUUCCGAUAUUCAGCCAGUUCUAUUAGAUAGAAGAUCUCAGAAUCAAGCCCGUAAAUAUUCAACCGGUACUCAAAUGCAGUCUUUACAUUCUUACCCAAAUGAUUUAGAAGGUCGAUUACCUCAAUUGGGUUAUGAGAGGAGUAGAUCAGGUACCCUAAUCAGAUCACGAUCCCUUUCUAGGGAGAUGUCUUACUGAUAUAAACUUAAUAAUUAGAUACCACUAUGAAAAUUUUGUGACUAUUUUAGAAUUUAUUUCAAAGCGGAUUAACAACGGAUGGAUAAAUAGUGAACUUUUCAACUUAAUGGCGGUCCAGAUCAUUGAACUAUUUAGGUAAAAUCUUUAUCAUUGUAUUCUUUUUUUCCUAUUUUCAAGUAUGGAAUUGACUCAUUCUGACAACUUUUAGUAAAAGGAAAUCUUGAAAUAUCUUUAUAUUGAGAAAUUUUUUCGUUCAAAACGCAUACUUUUCUUAAUUAGCUCUUCAAUUUAAUCUGAAUAAAAUUUACAUUUUCAAUUUGAUUAAACAAUUUAAUUAGAAUAACAGAAUCUCGAAAAGUCAGAAGACACAAUCUUACUUCAAAACUAUGACUUAUAAAGCAACUUUUCCCUAUUAACCACAUUAAUAUUGCUUAAGCAGAAUGUUGUAUAUACAUAUGUAUUCACCAAAUUAUUUAAUUAUGAAGGAGUAUGAAUUCAAUAAACUAAAAAUAGACUUUAGAUGUUUAUAAAUAGUCCAUUUGAGAGGUUUUAUUAAUAUUAAUAAGAGAAAAGGAUAUAAAAAAUCCAAGCCCAAGCUCUACGCUUAACAAAAGGAUUAUUAAGGAGUAUUUAUUUUACAGUAUGUUUUUAUUUGUAUACAAGAAAUGUUUUAUAUGUUGCUCACCACACUGUAUAUACUGUAUAUGAAUAUACUAAUACAUAUAUUUAUAUAGAUAUCUA
rnacentral:misc_RNA from 1 species